rnacentral:rRNA from 1 species
CUAACAAGGAUUCCCCUAGUAACGGCGAGUGAAGCGGGAUGAGCUCACCAUGUGAAUCUGCGCAACCAGCAAUGGUGCGCCGAAUUGUGGUCUGAAGAAGUAUUGUCGGCCGCGAGUCCGGGUUAACUGUAUUGGAAAAUACGGCCUGUGAGGGUGAAAGCCCCGUUCAUGCCUGGACUUGUUGCGCUHUGGCACAUGCUUUCUACGAGUCGAGUUGCUUGGGAUUGCAGCUCAAAUUUGGUGGUAAAUUCCAUCUAAAGCUAAAUAUUGGUGUGACACCGAUAGUGUACAAGUACCGUGAGGGAWAGAUGCAAAGAACUUUGAAAAGAGAGUUAAAGAGUACCUGAAAUUGUUAAAAGGGAAGCGAAGGAAUCCAGUGUAAAGCGAAGCCAUUCUUCUCAAGCCACUUGUGGUUUGGGCGCUGUGGUUAGCUGUACUAAUUCUGGGCUUGACCUGGGGCAUACGUUCUUCGAGUAGACGACUCUUCGGAGUGAGUGCUCGUUUUUCAUAUCCUGGGUCGGGCUGAGGUCAGUCACUCUGUGCUCGUGAUGAAUUAGGAAAUGGAUUUCUUUACCCCGUCUUGAAACACGGACCAAGGAGUCUAACAUAUGUGCAAGUACGUCAGUGGCAAACUGAUAUGCGUAAUGAAAGUAACAGUGGUAGGAACACUUCGGGUGCACUAUCCGCCGGCCAUAAUCCUUCGGGAGAAAGGUCUGAGUGUGAGCAUACAUGUUGGGACCCGAAAGAUGGUGAACUAUGCCUGAAUAGGGCGAAGCCAGGGGAAAC